AGUGAGACCAGCACCCGGAAGAGGCAGAGAGGGAGACGAUCGGGGGGGGGGGGGUGGUCAGGGAAGGAGAGGCCCCGUGAUCGGCAGAGACCUCGGAGGCAUUCGGAGACACGGAGACGAGAAUGCCAACAUCGUGAGCCUUGCUUACCCAUCUUGACUUGGAGUCAACCAGAAUCCUGACUUGAGUUGCAGACGAUUGGUAAGAUGAAAUUUAGGCUAACCUUUCCCAACCACGGACUUGAAAUGUUACUGUUUUAUCACUCCAGGAGUAGGGAUUAAAACUUCAUGCCGGAGAAAAUGGAAUAAACAUGGGAUUCAAGUCCAUAUCCAUUUGUCUUAUUCUCAACAGACCAAAGAAGGCUUUCUAACUACCCCCCCCCUUUUUUUUGACGUGCAGUCUCAACCAUCCAGAUGUGGGAGAUGGGCCCAAUAUAUCAUUAUUUAAACUCAUCUGGGUGUUCUAAGUCCACAGAUGUGUCUAAUUUGGAAGCUAUUGAUUUAAGUUUUCUCUUUAAGAAAACAAAUCUCAUCUUGAAACUCUUUAAGCCUGGAGAAAAAAAAAAUUCAGAGGGAAAAGGACAUUCUCUUGAACUAAGUUCAACUAAGAUUAAUCAUCUAAAGGAAAACAUGUUUUACUUCGGCCCAAGUAGAGUCUAGUCAUGUGACUCAUAGUUUAAAUACAUCCAGAGCUCCUGUGUUCACCUCCCAGGGCAACUGAUGUCUCUCUGACUUCUCUUGAUUCCAAUCUGGUUUCCCCAGACUUGUCUAGCUCGCUUGGCUUCGGUAACAGUCACGCCAAAGCCUGUGUUCUUUCCACCUGAGAAUCCAUUUAAAAUCGGCUACAUUUGGAGAGCUGGCUUCUAUCAAAUAUGCUAAAAACCCAGAUCGAUUUUUUUUUAGAAGUUUCCCGUAAUAAGCAAACAACCUAAGCUUUCCCACAUGACUAACACCUCCUAAGAUCAUCUCUAGAAAGAAACAAGAAUCUCUUUGUCCCAAGGGGUUGGCAAAAUCCCGGGAAUGUUGGGACAUUGGGAAUGGGGUCUAAUCCUUCCUUAGGAAGCAUGGCGGCCACACCUCUUCACCUAAAGGCUCUUUAUGCAGUGGUGGUGGCUGGUGAGGGGGGUGGAAGACGAGGCCCCGCUUGGGAGUCUCUGCUUAACUCUUGGGGAACAAUAACUCCCUUGCAGCGAGCAAAUGAAACUUUGGGAGAGAACUGUAGUUGCUGAUACCUGCAGCAGGAGACGUGGCCCGACUGAUGUUUUCCUUGGCCACAGAACUAACCGGGCAUCUGGAGAUGAAGCCGGUCCUCUUCUCACCACAGCCCAAGGACCACCCCCCCUUUUAAAGCCCAAAUCAAGCGCCCUGCUUCAAGGACUCUCCAGAUCUCCUCUCCCUGCUCGGGAGGGAGCAGGGACCUCCACAAUCGUCCACCAUUCCCGAUGCAUCACCAGCGGUUAUGUAGGAACGAUACACCGUGUAGGGUCUGGUUAUUAGGAAUAUACAGGAAGUAUUUAUGGUCAGACAAAAAAUGAUGCAGCAUUUGAAACACAGGCCAGCCAUGUUUCUAUUUUCAAUGCUUAGUAACUUGAGAGAGCCACGAUGCUAUCAAUUAUUGCUGAUUCGUUUGGAGGGCAGUAUCUCAUAUAAUUGCUAUUGUCUUCUUGCAAAGCGUCCAAGCUUUUGCAUUUGGUCUCAUGGUUUCACCAGUGAGAGGGGUGGAGAGAAAGGAAGAGGCAACACUAUUCAUUAAGGCUAAUUAAUGAGUUACAGAACUCUCUUGCAGUGCUGACUCAGAAAUCUUGGGGCACCUGAGUGGCUCGGUCAGGCGUCUGACUUUGGCUCAGGUCGUGAUCUCACGGUUCGUGGGUUCGAGCCCUGCGUCGGGCUCUGUGCCGACAGCUCGGAGCCUGGAGCCUGCGUGGGGUUCUGUGUCUCCCUCUCUAUCUGUCCCUCCCCCGCUUACAUUCUGUCUUUCUCUCUCUCUUCCAACAACACAUAAAACAUUUUUUUUUAAAAAGAAAUCUUAAGUCCUCAGAGUUGGCAUGCAUACAUCACGAUAGAUUCUAUAACAUUGUAAAAAGUUGUGAUCAUAUGCGGUAAAACUUGGGUGACUCCUACCCCUCUUAAAAGGUGCAAAAGCAGGGUUUAAGAUGCAGGCUUUCGGGGCGCCCGGGUGGCUCAGUCGGUUAAGCGUCCGACUUCGGCUCAGGUCAUGAUCUCCCAGUUCGUGAGUUCGAGCCCCGCGUCGGGCUCUGUGCUGACAGCUCAGAACCUGGAGCCUGCUUCACAUUCUGUGUCUCUGUCUCUGCCCUUCCCCUGCUCGUGCUGUGUCUCUGUCUCAAAUAAACAUUAAAAAAAAAAAAUUUAAAAAAAAAGGUGCGGGCUUUCCAUUGGGUGACCUGUUCUCAUUGCUUAAAGAGAGAUCUAUGGACUUCUGGUUCAAAAUGGCAGGUCGGGCACCUUUUGCUUAUUACUUGAGACCUCCCCCCUGCAAUCAAGAUAUUGAAGUGAAAAAGAAAAAAGGGCGGGGAAGGAAUUGUAAAGGGAGAGAAAAUCACAGAGAACAUCUCAGCACCUUUCUCGAAGAUGGAAAGCUGACCGUAGAGAGUUUCCGGAUGGAACAGGAAGAGAAAUUACAGCCUACGGAAGGAAACGGGAGUCAGUGUCUGACAGUGAGGCCCUGGGACUCUGUCAGCAGAUGUGAACGCAGCUGGGAGCGAGAAGUAAGGGGACGAGCCAGAAGACUGGUGGAAGGUCUUCGUGUGGACAAGGCAUCGUCCUCCGGCCUCACCCAGUUCACGCGUAAGGAAAAACGGAUCGGGUCCCUGGCGUAGAGCUCUGCCGCCGUGUAAGAAACACUCUCUUCCCGUGAGGGUAACGUUCAAGAUGGCGGCAGCUCUGUCCCAGGGGUCCUGUCACUGAACAGAUCCCCUGGCUAACGUGUGAUGGACAUGGAGCCUAGGUAAGAAACUAAAUAUUUGCUGUUAAAAGCCAGUUGUCCUUGGGGGGCGUUUCUCACUGUGGCAUAACCCAGCCUCGCUGCGCUCCAUGGCGAAGAAGCUUACACUUGAUUCUGUGAACUACAUGUGGGGCUCUGGAGGGGAGUGUAGUCAGGCUUGCAGUUUCCAAAGACCACUCUACUCUAUCUCACUGGGGUUGUUAAACAUAAAUAAGUUUAAUAACAGGGCUUAAAUAUAUUCUCAUGUAUAUUCUUCGAUAUAUUCUUAGAAACUACGAUUUUUUUUUUAACUUUGAUCUUACUUUUCUUUGGGUAAACGUUACUUUAAUGGUAGUUGUGAUGGUUGGCUCUAUGUGUCAACUUCACGGAGCUAAGGGAUGCCCAAACAGCUGGUGAAACAUCAUUUCUGGGAGCGUCUGGGAGAGCGUUUCCAGAAGACAUUAGCAUUUGAAUCGGCAGAUCAGGUAAAGAGACAUCUUCACCUGUGUGGCCGAAGGUUCUGAUCAGAACAGAAAGGAGGAAGGGUGAGUUCUCACUCUCAGCUUAGGGACCCCAUCUUCUCCUGUCCUUGGACAUUGGCGCUCUCCGCUCUCAAGCCUUUCGGACUCGGACUGAGUUGUGCCACCAGCUUUCCGGGAUCUCCAGCUUGCAGACGAGAGAGGGUGGGCCUUCUCAACCUCUACCAUCAUGUAAGCAACUCCUGUAAUAAGCCUCCUCUUACAUAUACGUCACUCUGUAUAUCCUAUGGGUUCUGUUUCUCCGGAGAACCCUGGCUAAUACAGGAAGCCGCGAAAAAUCUCCGGAGUGAUACAAAAAGCAGAUUUAUUGUCCUACAUUGAUUAAAAGUCAACACUUCCAGUCGGGCCCCAUGGGGCUUUCUCAGCCACGCUGCCGGCCCCAAGGUUCUGCAUAGUUUUGUGCCCUCCCAACCCUGCAGUGGAUCAACACAGCCCGCAGGCUCCCUUCUGGGCAAACAGACCUGGAAGAUAGUGGGGGGCUGGGCAAGGAAGGGGUCAGCGACAGCAGGAAGUGAGCUCUGCCCUGGCUAGAGGCCAGCCGUCCUUCUGGAUCAGAAGCCGCCAUUCAAGACACUUCUCUAAAGAAGACAUCCGGAUGGCCCACAGGCACAUGAGAAGAUGCUCAACGUCGCUCCUCAUCAGGGAAAUACAAAUCAAAACCACACUCAGGUAUCACCUCACGCCGAUCAGAG